rnacentral:rRNA from 1 species
AAAGCGGGGGAGCCUCUCAAGCAGAGGAACAUGUGGUGUAAAUUCGAUGAUCCGGGAGGAACCUUACCCGGGAUUGAAAUGUAGAUGACGGAUGGUGAAAACCGUCUUCCCUUCGGGGCUUCUAUGUAGGUGCUGCAUGGUUGUCGUCAGCUCGUGCCGUGAGGUGUCGGCUUAAGUGCCAUAACGAGCGCAACCCACAUCGGUAGUUGCUAACAGUUUUCGCUGAGGACUCUACCGAGACUGCCGUCGUAAGGCGUGAGGAAGGUGUGGAUGACGUCAAAUCAGCACGGCCCUUACAUCCGGGGCGACACACGUGUUACAAUGGGAGGGACAAAGGGCAGCUACCGGGCGACCGGAUGCGAAUCUCUAAACCCUUCCCCAGUUCGGAUCGGAGUCUGCAACUCGACUCCGUGAAGCUGGAUUCGCUAGUAAUCGCGCAUCAGCCAUGGCGCGGUGAAUACGUUCCCGGGCCUUGUACACACCGCCCGUCAAGCCAUGGGAGUCGGGGGUACCUGAAGGGCGUAACCGCAAGGGGCGCACUAGGGUAAUACCGGUGUCUGGGCUAAGUCGUAACAAGGUAGCCG